rnacentral:tRNA from 1 species
GACGCGAUGGCCGAGCUGGUCUAAGGCGCACGGUUCAGGUCCGUGUCCGUAAGGGCGCAGGUUCGAAUCCUGCUCGCGUCA